rfam:Arabis alpina cultivar Pajares chromosome 1, whole genome shotgun sequence.
AAAAUCGGGCAAGAGAGAGUAACGGUGUCUCUGAGUCCUUGUUAAAACCGGCGAGGGAUAUCGAUUAGGCCGAGAUAUAUCGUUUCAGUCGUCACUUUUUGGUUGACGAUCUGAUUGUUGCUCGUCCACAG